rnacentral:snRNA from 1 species
GUGCUCACUUCGGCAGCACAUAUACUAAAAUUAGAACGAUACAAAGAUUAGCAUGGCCCCUGCAUAAGGAUGACAUGCAAAUGCGUGAAGCGCUCCAUAUUUUU